AUGUACUUGGCGCAAUCUGAGAUGAUCUCGACGAUCCAGCGAGGCGACGGUACAGGGCAGUCUUCGUCUUGGCAGGCAGCGGUCCAAGCGAGCAGCAGCUCUGCUCAAUGCAGGGCAGCACGGAGCGAUGUAGGGGAAGUCAACGCGGGGAAGAUGUGUUCGCUCAUCUCCUGGAUGAGGCCGAGGCGAAGGUGGGAUAUGGUGCUGAGGAAGGAGAUCCGGUGGGGCGGCGACGCUGCUGGAGAGGUGAUGGCAGGGAUGGCCUGGACAAGGCCGGAGGCCGGGGAGGGAGCGACCGAUGGCGGCCGGACCAGGAGUCGAGGCGGCGCAGCUCCUGCUCGGCGUGGAGGACGACAGUUGCGGGCGCAGGUGCUGGAGAAGCUCCUCUCCUCGGGUGCUGGGGCGACGGUGAUCGAGGCUGCGAGCGAAGAAGCAGCGCGCGGGGGCUCGGCUUCCUGGUGGUUGGGGCGGAACGAAGGGAGGAGGAGGCGCGGCGCUGAUGAGGCCAGGGAGACGUGGCGGCGGAGGGAGACUCGCGAGGGGCCAUGGCCAGAGGGAGAGGCUGAGGGGAUCGAGCGAGAGGAGGGUUCGAGCACGGGCGUGGCUUCCUGGCGCUGGUUGCGGGCGAUGCGGCGCUGGAGGGAGGACGAGGGAGAUGGAGAUCGAGCAAAGGGGAGGCUAGGGUUAGGGGCGGCUGGGCCUAGGCACAGAUGGGCCUUGGAGGCUGGGUCGACCUAG
rnacentral:rRNA from 1 species